UAAAUAUACUAAGUCCUAAAUAUAGUAGAAGGCCGAAGGUCCCUUUCUUCUUCCCUCUUCUCGUUUUCUCUCUGCAAAAGCUCCAUUACUUUUUCCAAAUUCUCAAAUUAAAUCUUUCACUUUUGUUUAAUCAUAAGAUGUGAACCUAAUUUAUGAAACCCAAAAGCCCUAACACCAUUUGUAUUCUAAGAUUAUACUCAAAUCAGGAGUAGAAAGUAAUUUUUCCAACAAUAUCAUCGUGUAAAGCCCUUCUCGGUGUUGAUGAUCUCUUCGCUGGGAAUGGAUAAAGGUUGGUUGAAUAUUAGGAAUAGAGGUGACCAAAGAUAUGGAGAUGGAGUAGAUGGCUUUCUUAGUUGGACAUUCAGUCAACCAAGGGGGAGCACUAUGAUUCGAUGUCCUUGUAAAGGGUGUAUGAAUACUGCAUUCAAGCUAAAACCCGAUGUAAGAGGAGACUUAUUGAAGAAGAGUUUCUGGGAUUCUUACAAAGUGUGGGACUUGCAUGGAGAACAUUACAUUCAAGCGGCAAACAUAGAGGCUAGUGUGUCUUCUGCAAUAGAAAUUGUGCGUCAAGAGAUGCAAGCUGAUAUGGAUCGAAAGUUGCAAGAAGAACGUGAACAAAUGGCUGCGGAGUUGAAAAGGAACAUGGAGCAAGAGUUACAAAGAUAGUUGAAUGAAAAGCUUGAACAUGUCAAUCAAGAAGUAGAGAACAGGGUCAGUCUAGAAGUAGCAAAGAAGAUCCAAGAACAACUGGGUGCUCUCAUGACCAGAAUGCAACAGAUAAUUUACUCUUAAUAUUUUUAUACUCUUCUUUUUUUAUAUUUCUUCUUCUUACCGACUUGAAUCUUCUUCCAUCCUUCUUGACAAUUCUUUUUUUCAUCUUCUCCUUCUUUAAUUAUCUUUAUGACAAUAAGUUGUUGGAUUGGUACAUGUUCUGGUGCGAUCUAAAAUUUUGGUGCGAUUCUGAAAUUUUAGUGCGAUUCUGAAAUUCUAGAUAUGCAAAAUCUAGUUGGACAAUCUGGAUAUGCUGUUUUUGCAUGGCUGUUUUUGUCUUAAAUUCUGGAUAUACAAAAUCUGUUUUUGGACAAUUCUAUUUUUGCUUAAAGGAUGCAUUUUUUGGACAAUUCUGUUUUUGCUUAAAGGAUGCCUUUUAUUGAAACAGACUUGUGUAGGCUAAGGUAUCAAAGGUAGCGUUUUAUAAGUAGAGUUUAGGAAAAUGUUAGUAUGCAGUGGAUGAUCUUGGGUAAAUUGCUUCUUUUUGGAAAUUUUUUUGUGCUUUUCCUUUUCAGUAUCAAUUGAAAAGGAAAGAGAAGGUUUUACGUUGUUUUGGUCAAUUUUACGGGGAAGAAGGAAAAUUGCAAAGUUCAUUAUAGAAUUUUCUUUUCAGUCGUAAUCGCAAAGCUCGUGUUGAUAUAAUCCUAUCUAUAUAUUUUUUUCUUUAACUGUUUGGCUAAGGUUCUUUAUGAUAUUAAUAUUUUCAAUUGCAAUCGGCUCACUUCUUAGAGCAGUUUGAUGGAUGUAGUAGGUGGCAAUGACGGGUAGGGAGAUGCCUUUUGGGAGGAUUUUAGUAUGCAUAGUUUCUGUUGAAAUGCUUUGACUGGUGGCUUUGUUGUUGGAGCAUGUAUUUUCCUUCACAGUGAUUGAUCGGUUUUCUUAGAGUUGGAAGUAAUAUAAAUUGCCUUUGACUGGUUUUCUUAAGCAGGGAUGAGGUUCUUAAACAAUGAAUACAACCAAGGAGGGGCUUCAGGGCACUUAGUAUUUUGGUCUUUUGGGAUGUAUAUGCAUACAAUGACAAUGAAUUGUUAUUCAUUAUAUAUGUAAUUCGCAUUUUAGUAAUGGAAGUAUUUAAUAUCCGACUUAAGAUAUUCUUUUGGUGUUUGUAAAAUACUAUUGGAUGCGUU